UACGUAGGGUGCGAGCGUUGUCCGGAAUUAUUGGGCGUAAAGAGCUCGUAGGCGGUGUGUCGCGUCGGCCGUGAAAACCUGGGGCUUAACUCUGGGCGUGCGGUCGAUACGGGCAUCACUGGAGUUCGGCAGGGGAGACUGGAAUUCCUGGUGUAGCGGUGAAAUGCGCAGAUAUCAGGAGGAACACCGGUGGCGAAGGCGGUUCUCUGGGCAUGUCCUGACGCUGAGGAGCGAAAGUGUGGGGAGCGAACAGG
rnacentral:rRNA from 1 species